GCCGAGCUUGGUAACACAAGCUUGUCACCCAAGUGGGGGCAAUAUGGUGAUGGGACACUGGCUCAACCGAUAGGGGUCGGGUUCAAGUGGCUGAUUUCUGGCUUGCCCGUUCCAAGCUAGUAGUUGAGCCGAGGGACUCGAGCCAAGCCCUUGGGUCUCGUGGAUCCUAGAGAGGAAGGCACAGCGUGAGGCUGGUUUCACAGAGCAGUGGAAGGAUAACAAGCCGGUGCCCUCUUGGACCAUCACUUUUUUCUUUUCUUUUUUGCUUAGAUUAACUUUGUU
rnacentral:SRP_RNA from 1 species